rnacentral:tRNA from 1 species
GCCCGAAUGGUGGAAUGGUAGACACGAGGGACUUAAAAUCCCUUGGCCAUAUCGGCUGUAUGGGUUCGAGUCCCAUUUCGGGCA